CUGUAUUCUCUGUAUUCGUGAUGCCGGUCUGCCGCACUCUUCAGUGAGUGUGUGUUCCCUCUAAAUGAACGUGCUAGAGGAAGAUAUGCAGCAACAGUAUAGUGCUGGUCUGUAUGUCAGCUGCUAACAUUGGACCCAGGCUCCCAGAAACCCUUAGGCUGAGUGCACAAGGAUUUUUGGGAAGACCUGCAGAGGAAGAUGUGUGGAAGACAGCAUGGGGAGUGGGACAGAGAGAAGAUUGAUGACAGAGCUGGCCUGACUUCUGCCUGCCCACUCCAAGGAAAGGGGCCCCUUGAUGGAUGUGGCCUCCUCAUUCAUUCUGAUUCCAAGCACAGGGUGCUGUGGCAUUGUGAACUGUGGAGGCAGAUCUAAG